UCACCCACUACUCCCCUCCCUGUAUUUCAGUAGAUCAACCUGCUCUGCUACCCAUCCUGUCUCUGGUGAAUCCUCUUACUCCACACACUUCUGGCCUGUACCCCAGUUCUUCUAUGCGAAAAAAUAACAACAACAACAAAAAAAACACAACUCACCAGCACUGGAGUUCUGGUGGAGGCUGAGUGAAGCUUGCACAUAUAAGAAAGGGUGAAGUUGAGUACGCCCAUGCUUAGACAGUUAUGUAAAGGAGUAGCAAAUCAAUAAAAUUUGAGGAAAAAGAAGAAUCACCCACCUGCUUAAGGCAUACCUAAAUGUUCCAGACCUUGCCCCAGUUUUCAAGGUGAUGGUCUUCCUGUAUACAGUUGGAGCUACUCUGUGAACUGCAGAUACAUGCCCUGCAGUGGGGAAGGCAGUCAACACUGGAGCCAGAUGGUAUCGCCCCAGACACCUGCUCUUUGGUACUAACCUAGGUGAUUCAUGUUCUCCCUGCCUGCCAAACUAUCCUAGUCCGGACAUUACUCCAGUGAUGGAUGACCUGGGUUAUGAAUCUACCUGACCAAAACACAUUUUGCAAAGCCAAAUAUUUCCAUCAGUUCAAAAUAAACAUGCUUGCCAAGAACUACAAACCCACAAUUUCAACCUGUUAACACUUGUAAAGGAGAAAGAUAUAAAACAAUUGAUUUCCUUGGAUUCUUUGGUCUCCUACGUUACCUUUACUGUUGUUUUCAACUACUUUUCAACUCCUGCUUGGACAGCAAGAGAAUCACAGUUGAAAAGAAAACCCGAGUGUCAGGAUGAAGAGUUAGCCAUCUUGUCCCUGAGAACAAUUGUCAAGCAUCUUGGUGGAAAGGUCAUGUGAUACGGAACGAAUCAUCAUUUGGAAGCAAUGCUUUAAAACUUUGCACGUAAUACUACUCAAAAUACCCUGCCUUAAAAUAAUUCCAACAACAGCUAUUGAAGAAACAUAGGCUUUGUGUGUUUCUACAUUUUUCCAAGGAAGAAAGAUUAAUCUCACGGUGCCAUCCAUAUUAGAGGUCAGCUCAUGGUGUGAUCGAUAUCAAAGGUCAGCUCUUGGUGUCAUCCACAUCAGAGGUCAGCUCAUUCAGACAAUUUCCACAAAUGAGACUCACUGGACGGCACUGAGCCUUUUCCGUGCACCACAAAAUAGCGGAAGAAAAAGCUGCAGAGGAGAAGGACUUACACGGAGGCUGCUCUUGGACACCAGCUGUGUAUGAACGUUCAAGUCUUUAUAUGUGCUGGAGUGAGUUCUUUGUGUAUUCUAGAUAUGAAUCCCAGCAAGAAGCAUAUACACUGAAAAUGUUUUCUACCACAUUCUGGCCAAGCUUUUUACUCUGUGAAUGAUGCCUUUUAAUAAAAGUAAC